ensembl:miRNA MIR192 microRNA 192
GCACAGGGCUCUGACCUAUGAAUUGACAGCCAGUGCUCUCAUCUCCCCUCUGGCUGCCAAUUCCAUAGGUCACAGGUAUG